rnacentral:rRNA from 1 species
GAUAUUGCCCCACACGACCGUACCGCAAACCGACACUGGUGCGCGAGAUGAGUAUUCUAAGGCGCUUGAGAGAACUCAGGAGAAGGAACUCGGCAAAUUGACACCGUAACUUCGGAAGAAGGUGUGCCUUUAGUAGGUGAAGUCCCUCGCGGAUGGAGCCCAAUGAGGUUGCAAAGAAUCGGUGGCUGCGACUGUUUAUUAAAAACACAGCACUCUGCAAACACGAAAGUGGACGUAUAGGGUGUGACGCCUGCCCGGUGCUGGAAGAUUAAAUGAUGGGGUGCAAGCUCUUGAUUGAAGUCCCAGUAAACGGCGGCCGUAACAAUAACGGUCCUAAGGUAGCGAAAUUCCUUGUCGGGUAAGUUCCGACCUGCACGAAUGGCGUAACGAUGGCCACACUGUCUCCUCCUGAGACUCAGCGAAGUUGAAAUGUUUGUGAUGAUGCAAUCUCCCCGCGGAAAGACGGAAAGACCCCAUGAACCUUUACUGUAGCUUUGUAUUGGACUUUGAACAGAUCUGUGUAGGAUAGGUGGGAGGCUUUGAAGCAGGGUCGCUAGAUCUUGUGGAGCCAACGUUGAAAUACCACCCUGGUGUGUUUGAGGUUCUAACCUAGGCCCGUAAUCCGGGUUGGGGACAGUGCAUGGUAGGCAGUUUGACUGGGGCGGUCUCCUCCCAAAGUGUAACGGAGGAGUUCGAAGGUACGCUAGUUACGGUCGGACAUCGUGACGAUAGUGCAAUGUCAUAAGCGUGCUUAACUGCGAGACUGACAAGUCGAGCAGAUGCGAAAGCAGGACAUAGUGAUCCGGUGGUUCUGUAUGGAAGGGCCAUCGCUCAACGGAUAAAAGGUACUCUGGGGAUAACAGGCUGAUACCGCCCAAGAGUUCAUAUCGACGGCGGUGUUUGGCACCUCGAUGUCGGCUCAUCUCAUCCUGGGGCUGUAGCCGGUCCCAAGGGUAUGGCUGUUCGCCAUUUAAAGAGGUACGUGAGCUGGGUUUAAAACGUCGUGAGACAGUUUGGUCCCUAUCUUCCGUGGGCGCUGCAGAUUUGAGGAAGCCUGCUCCUAGUACGAGAGGACCGGAGUGGACGCACCUCUGGUGUAUCGGUUGUCACGCCAGUGGCAUUGCCGAGUAGCUAUGUGCGGAAGAGAUAACCGCUGAAAGCAUCUAAGCGGGAAACUCGUUUCAAGAUGAGAUCUGCCGGGGCCUUGAGCCCCCUGAAGAGUCGUUCAAGACCAGGACGUUGAUAGGUCGGGUGUGGAAGCGCAGUAAUGCGUUAAGCUAACCGAUACUAAUUGCUCGUGCGGCUUGACCCU